rnacentral:rRNA from 1 species
AUUGAACGCUGGCGGCAUGCCUAACACAUGCAAGUCGAGCGAGCGGCGGACGGGUGCGUAAUGUCUGGGAACCUGCCUGUUGGAGGGGGAUAACUACUGGAAAAGGUUGCGAAUACCGCAUACCAUCAGAUGUGCCCAGAUGGGAUUAGCUAGAGGGGGGGGUAACGGCUCACCUAGGCGACGAUCCCUAGCGGGUCUGAGAGGAUGACCGGCCACACUGGGACUGAGACACGGUCCAGACUCCUACGGGAGGCAGCAGUGGGGAAUAUUGGACAAUGGGCGAAAGCCUGAUCGAGCAAUGCCGCGUGAGUGAAGAAGGCCUUCGGGUCGUAAAGCACUUUCAUCGGGGAGGCGUUACCCGCAGAGGAAGCACCGGCUAACUCCGUGCCAGCAGCCGCGGUAAUAC